GGGGCCGUAGUCUAGCUAGGUAUGACGACAUUGCGACCACAACGUUAAGGGCUCCAGAGGCGCAGAAAACAUUGAUCCGUAAGGGAGAUGAUUAAACUCUGGAGCGCGCCGAAGAAACCCGUAGGUCGAGGGUUCGAAUCCCUCCGGCCCCACCA
rnacentral:tRNA from 1 species